UACGAAGGGGGCUAGCGUUGCUCGGAAUUACUGGGCGUAAAGGGCGCGUAGCGGCACUGUUAGUCAGGCGUGAAAUUCCUGGGCUCAACCUGGGGACUGCGCUUGAUACGGCAGAGCUUGAGGAUGGAAGAGGGUCGCGGAAUUCCCAGUGUAGAGGUGAAAUUCGUAGAUAUUGGGAAGAACACCGGUGGCGAAGGCGGCGACCUGGUCCAUUACUGACGCUGAGGCGCGACAGCGUGGGGAGCAAACAGGAUUGAGAAAACCC
rnacentral:rRNA from 1 species